rnacentral:rRNA from 1 species
GUGCCAGCCGCCGCGGUAAUACGUAGGGUGCGAGCGUUGUCCGGAAUUAUUGGGCGUAAAGGGCUCGUAGGCGGUUUGUCACGUCGGGAGUGAAAACUCGGGGCUUAACCCCGAGCCUGCUUCCGAUACGGGCUGACUAGAGGUAUGCAGGGGAGAACGGAAUUCCUGGUGUAGCGGUGAAAUGCGCAGAUAUCAGGAGGAACACCGGUGGCGAAGGCGGUUCUCUGGGCAUUACCUGACGCUGAGGAGCGAAAGUGUGGGGAGCGAACAGGAUUAGAUACCCGUGUAGUCC